rnacentral:lncRNA from 1 species
UUUCACUUAUUUACCUCUUAUUACUAUUCAAAAUUUCAAAUUUACUGCAAAGUUACCGAAAUACCCUUCUAAAUCCUAAAUUCUAAGGUACCGUUUGGUUCGGGUAUAAGCAAGAACUAGCUAUUAUAGGAAUAGGUACGAGUAUGGGGAUAAAAAAAAUAGCGUUUAGAUGAAAAUUGGGUUGUUCCCGAGGAUAAGAAAAAUAUUAGGAAGUUUUAUAUAGAAAAUGAAGGUGUUGGUGGGGAGUGUGGGGAUAUUUGCGGGGAUUUUUGAAAAUCAAUAAAUACAUUUUGGUCAAUUAAGGGGUACAUUAGAUAUUUUUAAAAUUUUAAAAAGUACAUUAUUAUUCUUAGAUGUAUAAGACUUGUAUCAACUAUCACCGUUUUUUAUUUAACUAUCUAAUCUUUAAGAAUUUUGAUUUUACUACCUAUCAUUUUAGAUUAUUUGAUUUGAGUCAGUUAACGAUACUUUACCUUUCAAUUUUUUUGAAUAAUUCAUUAAUUUUUACAUAUUUAAUUAGUAUAUUUUAUAUAAUUUGUUCAGUGAAUAAAAUUACUAUGCUAUCGGAAGAAUAAAGGAUCUGGUGUUUCCGACUUUUUAGCCCUUAGAUCAGUCAUGCACUUUAAUCAUUUUUAAUCUUUGGAUUAAUACUAUUACACUGUGGGGAUCACUCAACCCUAAAGGUAUUACUCAAUCCUAGGUGGGACUGCAAUCAUCCUAAUCGUAUAAUUCUUGAUCCAAGGGUCAAAAAAUCGAAAGCAUCAAAUUCUCUGCAUAGUAACUCUACACUUUGUUCAAUUAUAAAUUUAUAAAAGUGAAUAAUUAGCUUAAAUUUUGUAUCGAAAGAGCCAUUAAGUCAUUUC